GAUGCAAGAUAAAAAUCAUUAUUUCAAUUCUGAUCAUCAACAUGAGUGCGCGGCAUCGUGACAAAGUCUCAUAUUUUGUCCACGUCGAUCUUGCGUGGAGUUAAAAAAGAAAGAAAGAAAGAAAGACGAGGUUCAUGGAACUUUGACUGCUCUUUAGUCAGCCCGUUCCAGGUUCAAUGGAUGGCAGCCCACGGUCCGCCUGUCCGCGGUUGGCCGAUCGUGGAUUCGGAAAAGCUUACGUGUCACAGGACAGACCGCAACCCCCGUUGCCGAAAGUCCAGCCCCCCAGGC
rnacentral:lncRNA from 1 species